rnacentral:rRNA from 1 species
AUAAUGGGUCAGCGACUUAUAUUCUGUAGCAAGGUUAACCGUAUAGGGGAGCCGGAGGGAAACCGAGUCUUAAUUGGGCGUUAAGUUGCAGGGUAUAGACCCGAAACCCGGUGAUCUAGCCAUGGGCAGGUUGAAGGUUGGGUAACACUAACUGGAGGACCGAACCGACUAAUGUUGAAAAAUUAGCGGAUGACCUGUGGCUGGGGGUGAAAGGCCAAUCAAACCGGGAGAUAGCUGGUUCUCCCCGAAAGCUAUUUAGGUAGCGCCUCGUGAAUUCAUCUCCGGGGGUAGAGCACUGUUUCGGCUAGGGGGCCAUCCCGGCUUACCAACCCGAUGCAAACUGCGAAUACCGGAGAAUGUUAUCACGGGAGACACACGGCGGGUGCUAACGUCCGUCGUGAAGAGGGAAACAACCCAGACCGCCAGCUAAGGUCCCAAAGUCAUGGUUAAGUGGGAAACGAUGUGGGAAGGCCCAGACAGCCAGGAUGUUGGCUUAGAAGCAGCCAUCAUUUAAAGAAAGCGUAAUAGCUCACUGGUCGAGUCGGCCUGCGCGGAAGAUGUAACGGGGCUAAACCAU